rnacentral:rRNA from 1 species
AUUGAACGCUGGCGGCAGGCCUAACACAUGCAAGUCGAGCGGAGCGGCGGACGGGUGAGUAAUACCUAGGCAUCUGCCAGGUGGUGGGGGGUAACGUCCGGAAACGGGCGAUAAUACCGCAUACUAUGAGAUGAGACUAGGUCGUAUUAGCUAGUUGGUGGGGUAAAGGCCUACCAGGGCUACGAUCCGUAACUGGUAUGAGUGGAUGAUCAGUCAAACUGGAACUGUGACCGGGUCCAGACUCCUACGGGAGGCAGCAGUGGGGAAUAUUGGACAAUGGGCGAAAUCCUGAUCCAGCCAUGCCGCGUGUGUGAAGAAGGUCUUCGGAUUGUAAAGCACUUUAAGUUGGGCGGCGUUACCAACAGAAUAAGCACCGGCUAACUUCGUGCCAGCAGCCGCGGUAAUUC